rnacentral:rRNA from 1 species
UAAAGUUGUUGCAGUUAAAAAGCUCGUAGUUGAACUUCAGACCUGGCUGGGCGGUCUGCCUAACGGUAUGUACUGUCCGGCUGGGUCUUACCUCUUGGUGAGCCGGCAUGCCCUUCACUGGGUGUGUCGGGGAACCAGGACUUUUACCUUGAGAAAAUUAGAGUGUUCAAAGCAGGCUUAUGCCCGAAUACAUUAGCAUGGAAUAAUAAAAUAGGACGUGCGGUUCUAUUUUGUUGGUUUCUAGAGUCGCCGUAAUGAUUAAUAGGGAUAGUUGGGGGCAUUAGUAUUCCGUUGCUAGAGGUGAAAUUCUUGGAUUUACGGAAGACUAACUAUUGCGAAAGCAUUUGCCAAGGAUGUUUUCAUUAAUCAAGAACGAAGGUUAGGGGAUCGAAAACGAUCAGAUACCGUUGUAGUCUUAACAGUAAACUAUGCCGACUAGGGAUCGGGCGAACUCAGUUUGAUGUGUCGCUCGGCACCUUACGAGAAAUCAAAGUCUUUGGGUCCCGCGGGAAGUAUGGCGCAAGGCUGAAACUUAAAGGAUUGACGGAAGGGCACCACCAGGUUGGAGCCUGCGGCUAAAUGUGACUCAACACGGGGAAACUCCACCAGGUCCAGACAUGACUAGGAUUGACAGAUUGAUAGCUCUCUCAUGAUUUUAUGGGUGCUGGUGCAUGGCCGUUCUUAGUUGGUGGAGUGAUUUGUCUGGUUAAUUCCGAUAACGAACGAGACCUUAACCUGCUAAAUAGCCAGGCCGGCUUUUGCUGGUCGCCGGCUUCUUAGAGGGACUGUCUGCGUCUAGCAGACGGAAGUUUGAGGCAAUAACAGGUCUGUGAUGCCCUUAGAUGUUCUGGGCCGCACGCGCGCUACACUGACAGAGCCAGCGAGCUUUUUUCCUUGGCCGGAAGGUCUGGGUAAUCUUGUGAAACUCUGUCGCGCUGGGGAUAGAGCAUUGCAAUUAUUGCUCUUCAACGAGGAAUACCUAGUAAGCGUGAGUCAUC